rnacentral:rRNA from 1 species
GAUUCUGGCUCAGAUUGAACGCUGGCGGCAGGCUUAACACAUGCAAGUCGAGCGGGGAUAGGGUGCUUGCACCUGAUUCCUAGCGGCGGACGGGUGAGUAAUGCUUAGGAAUCUGCCUAUUAGUGGGGGACAACGUUCCGAAAGGGACGCUAAUACCGCAUACGUCCUACGGGAGAAAGCAGGGGAUCUUCGGACCUUGCGCUAAUAGAUGAGCCUAAGUCGGAUUAGCUAGUUGGUGGGGUAAAGGCCUACCAAGGCGACGAUCUGUAGCGGGUCUGAGAGGAUGAUCCGCCACACUGGGACUGAGACACGGCCCAGACUCCUACGGGAGGCAGCAGUGGGGAAUAUUGGACAAUGGGGGCAACCCUGAUCCAGCCAUGCCGCGUGUGUGAAGAAGGCCUUUUGGUUGUAAAGCACUUUAAGCGAGGAGGAGGCUUACCUGGUUAAUACCCGGGAUAAGUGGACGUUACUCGCAGAAUAAGCACCGGCUAACUCUGUGCCAGCCGCCGC